rnacentral:lncRNA from 1 species
GAGCUGGGUAGGACCAGACUGGUCUCUACAUUCCAUAUGCCCGGGCAUGGGGGCACAGGCCCAAGGGGCACUGUCCUGUCUGCAGAUGCUGCGGGAAAUCACAGAUCAGGAACACAACGUGGUGGCACUGAAGGAGGCCAUCAAGGACAAGGAGGAACCUCUGCACAUAGCCCAGACCCGGCUGUAGUUGCUCUCACACCGGCCCAACAUGCAGCUGUGCCGCGAUGCAGCCCAGUUCAGGUGCUGAGAGGGGAGGGAGACUCUGCGGCCACACACAACAUGCAAGCACGCCUUAAACACACAGAUAUAGACAUGACACUGGGCAGGUCAUGGGUCGGGGGCCUCCCCGUGCCAGGGACCUGUGCCCACGUGGUCUCACCCCACCCUGUGCUACCUCAUCUUCCCGGGAGGAAGCUCCUUCAGACAAGCCCCAGCUCACACCCCCCAACACCCCCAAGCUGGUGAGUGAGGUGGAGGAGCUGUACAAGUCCAUCACAGCGCUGCGGGAGAAGCUUCUACAAGCGGAGCAGUCCCUGCGCAACCUCAAGGACAUCCACAUGAGCCUGGAGAAGGACGUCACUGCCAUGACCAACAGUCUCUUCAUCGACCGCCAGAAGUGCAUGGCCCAUCGUACUUGCUACCCCACCAUUCUGCAGCUGGCUGGCUACCAGUGAGCAGCGGCACGGUGCUUCCCCCCAAUCCCCCAAAUAAACAGUGCGU